rnacentral:rRNA from 1 species
UACAGAGGUCCCAAGCGUUGUUCGGAUUCACUGGGCGUAAAGGGUGCGUAGGCGGUCGGGUAAGUCGGAUGUGAAAUCCCCGGGCUCAACCUGGGAAUUGCAUUCGAGACUGCAAGGCUUGGGUGCGGAAGAGGGAAGCGGAAUUUCCGGUGUAGCGGUGAAAUGCGUAGAUAUCGGAAGGAACAUCAGUGGCGAAAGCGGCUUCCUGGUCCAGCACCGACGUUCAGGCACGAAAGCGUGGGGAGCAAACAGG